rnacentral:tmRNA from 1 species
GGGGGUGUACCGGUUUCGACUGGUACGGUUCGGGAUGCAGGCUGCAGGUGGAGUGCCGAUCUCCUAACAUUCGGCGACAAUUUAACUGCCGACUACGACAGUUACGCUCUCGCUGCAUAAACAGCGGAACGCGGAAGCCGGUCCCGCCGCCUUGAGGGGCCGAACUUCCGACGCAAUCAAGGCUGGUCGCAGGAAACUUUGUUUCCGCCUCUGUUUUCGGGGGAGGGACGACGAGACAUUUCCGGAAUACGGACGGGCCGCAUACCGCGGCGCCAAGCCCGCCCCGACAAUAUAAGACGCGGUUAAACCUGUAGAGGCCUGUAUUUCGCGUAUUAGGACGCGGGUUCGACUCCCGCCACCUCCAAAA